rnacentral:lncRNA from 1 species
GCCAUGCCUGAAACACACAUUCUGAAUGUCUGACACUGACAACUGUUACAUGCAAAUGCUGAUGAUCUUGACACAGUUGUGGAGUUGUCAUCGGUGUACUAUAUACUUACCGUGGUCGUGGUGAUGACGGUGUUGACACAGUUGUGGGGGUUGUCAUCGGUGUACUAUAUACUUACCGUGGUCGGCGGUGUUGACACAGUUGUGGAGGUUGUCAUCGGUGUACUAUAUACUUACCGUGGUCGUGGUGAUGACGGUGUUGACACAGUUGUGGAGGUUGUCAUCGGUGUACUAUAUACUUACCGUGGUCGGCGGUGUUGACGGUGAUGACACAGUUGUGGGGGUUGUCAUCGGUGUACUAUAUACUUACCGUGGUCGGCGGUGUUGACACAGUUGUGGAGGUUGUCAUCGGUGUACUAUAUACUUACCGUGGUCGUGGUGAUGACGGUGUUGACACAGUUGUGGAGGUUGUCAUCGGUGUACUAUAUACUUACCGUGGUCGGCGGUGUUGACGGUGUUGACACAGUUGUGGAGGUUGUCAUCGGUGUACUAUAUACUUACCGUGGUCGGCGGUGUUGACACAGUUGUGGAGGUUGUCAUCGGUGUACUAUAUACUUACCGUGGUCGUGGUGAUGACGGUGUUGACACAGUUGUGGAGGUUGUCAUCGGUGUACUAUAUACUUACCGUGGUCGGCGGUGUUGACGGUGUUGACACAGUUGUGGAGGUUGUCAUCGGUGUACUAUAUACUUACCGUGGUCGGCGGUGUUGACACAGUUGUGGGGGUUGUCAUCGGUGUACUAUAUACUUACCGUGGUCGUGGUGAUGACGGUGUUGACACAGUUGUGGAGGUUGUCAUCGGUGUACUAUAUACUUACCGUGGUCGGCGGUGAUGACACAGUUGUGGGGGUUGUCAUCGGUGUACUAUAUACUUACCGUGGUCGUGGUGAUGACGGUGUUGACACAGUUGUGGAGGUUGUCAUCGGUGUACUAUAUACUUACCUUGGUCGGCGGUGUUGAAGAUGAUGACACAGUUGUGGGGGUUGUCAUCGGUGUACUAUAUACUUAUCGUGGUCGGCGGUGUUGACAGUGAUGACACAGUUGUGGGGGUUGUCAUCGGUGUACUAUAUACUUACCGUGGUCGUGGUGUUGACAGUGAUGACACAGUUGUGGAGGUUGUCAUCGGUGUACUAUAUACUUACCUUGGUCGGCGGUGUUGACGGUGAUGACACAGUUGUGGGGGUUGUCAUCGGUGUACUAUAUACUUACCGUGGUCGGCGGUGUUGACGGUGAUGACACAGUUGUGGGGGUUGUCAUCGGUGUACUAUAUACUUACCGUGGUCGUGGUGUUGACGGUGAUGACACAGUUGUGGGGGUUGUCAUCGGUGUACUAUAUACUUACCGUGGUCGGCGGUGAUGACACAGUUGUGGGGGUUGUCAUCGGUGUACUAUAUACUUACCGUGGUCGUGGUGAUGACGGUGUUGACACAGUUGUGGGGGUUGUCAUCGGUGUACUAUAUACUUACCGUGGUCGGCGGUGUUGACACAGUUGUGGGGGUUGUCAUCGGUGUACUAUAUACUUACCAUGGUCGGCGGUGUUGACACAGUUGUGGGGGUUGUCAUCGGUGUACUAUAUACUUACCGUGGUCGGCGGUGAU